AUCUCGGAAGCUAAGCAGGGUCGGGCCUGGUUAGUACUUGGAUGGGAGACCAGGUGCUGUAGGCAUAAA
rnacentral:miRNA from 1 species